rnacentral:lncRNA from 1 species
CGAUGAAGAUUACCUACGAUAUCUGAAUUCUCUUAGUAUUGAUGAUGAGGUGGAGUGUAUGCCUGAAAGGAAUACCUCAAAGACAGACAUGCCUAAGAGGAAAUCCACAAAGACAGACAUGCCUGAGAAGAACACCUUAAUGACAGACAUGCCUAAGAGGAAUACCACAAAGACAGACAUGCCUGAGAAGAACACCUUAAAGACAGACAUGCCUCAGAGGAAUACCAUAAAGACAGACAUGCCUAAGAGGAAUACCACAAAGACAGACAUGCCUCGAAAGAACACCUUAAAGACAGACAUGCCUCAGAAGAAUACCUUAGAGACAGACAUGCCUAAGUGGAAUACCACAGAGACCUCAAAGACAGACAUGCCUACGAGGAAUACCACAAAGAUAUAUAUGCCUGAGAAGAACACCUCAAAGAGAGACAUGCCUAAGAGGAAAACCUUAGAGACAGGCAUGCCUAAGUGGAAUACUACAAAGACAGACAUGGGUGUGAGGAAAACCUUAGAGUCAGGCAUGCUGGACAGGAAUACCUUCAAAACAGACAUGCCUGAGAGAAAUGCCUUACAUGCACACAUACCUGAGAGGAAUAUCUC